rnacentral:rRNA from 1 species
CCCCCCUGGGGGUCUGAGUUGUAAUUUGCAGAGGAUGCUUCGGGCGCGACCGCGGUCCAAGUCCCCUGGAACGGGGCGUCGUAAGGGUGAGAAUCCCGUCUCCGGCCGGCCGGUCUCGCCCGUGUGAAGCUCCUUCGACGAGUCGAGUUGUUUGGGAAUGCAGCUCCAAAUGGGUGGUAAAUUUCAUCUAAAGCUAAAUACUGGUCGGAGACCGAUAGCGCACAAGUAGAGUGAUCGAAAGAUGAAAAGCACUUUGAAAAGAGAGUUAAACAGCAUGUGAAAUUGUUGAAAGGGAAGCGCUUGCGACCAGAGUCGGCCGUGGGGGUUCAGCGGGCAUUCGUUGCCCGUGCAAUCCCCCGCGGCCGGGCCAGCGUCGGUUUCGACGGCCGGUCAAAGGCUCCCGGAAUGUGUCGCCUCUCGGGGCGUCUUAUAGCCGGGGGUGCAAUGCGGCCAGUCGGGACCGAGGAACGCGCUCCGGCACGGACGCUGGCUUAAUGGUCGUCAGCGACCCGUCUUGAAACACGGACCAAGGAGUCUAAACAUCCACGCGAGUGUUCGGGUGUCAAACCCGUCCGCGCAGUGAAAGCGAACGGAGGUGGGAACCCCUGGAAGGGUGCACCAUCGACCGAUCCUGAAAGUCUCCGGAUGGGAUUUGAUUAGAACCGUGGCUGUUGGACCCGAAA